rnacentral:rRNA from 1 species
AACUCUUGUAUUAAACCAGUCGUCUGAGUAUAAAAUUUUAAUUAAAUUAAAACUUUCAACAACGGAUCUCUUGGUUCUCGCAUCGAUGAAGAACGCAGCGAAAUGCGAUAAGUAAUGUGAAUUGCAGAAUUCAGUGAAUCAUCGAAUCUUUGAACGCACAUUGCGCCCCUUGGUAUUCCGAGGGGCAUGCCUGUUCGAGCGUCAUUACACCACUCAAGCAUCGCUUGGUAUUGGGAACGGUCCGUCGAAAGGCGGGCCUUCCUCGAAGACCUCGGCGGGGUUCAACCAACUUCGGGCGUAGUAGAGUUAAAUCGAACGUCUUAUAAGCUUGGUCGGAUCUCAUUGCCGUUAAACCUUUAAAUUUUCUAGGUUGACCUCGGAUCAGGUAGGGAUAC